rnacentral:rRNA from 1 species
ACAAGCAGUGGGAGCACCCUUUGGGUGUGACUGCGUACCUUUUGUAUAAUGGGUCAGCGACUUAUAUUCUGUAGCAAGGUUAACCGAAUAGGGGAGCCGGAGGGAAACCGAGUCUUAACCGGGCGUUAAGUUGCAGGGUAUAGACCCGAAACCCGGUGAUCUAGCCAUGGGCAGGUUGAAGGUUGGGUAACACUAACUGGAGGACCGAACCGACUAAUGUUGAAAAAUUAGCGGAUGACCUGUGGCUGGGGGUGAAAGGCCAAUCAAACCGGGAGAUAGCUGGUUCUCCCCGAAAGCUAUUUAGGUAGCGCCUCGUGAAUUCAUCUCCGGGGGUAGAGCACUGUUUCGGCUAGGGGGCCAUCCCGGCUUACCAACCCGAUGCAAACUGCGAAUACCGGAGAAUGUUAUCACGGGAGACACACGGCGGGUGCUAACGUCCGUCGUGAAGAGGGAAACAACCCAGACCGCCAGCUAAGGUCCCAAAGUCAUGGUUAAGUGGGAAACGAUGUGGGAAGGCCCAGACAGCCAGGAUGUUGGCUUAGAAGCAGCCAUCAUUUAAAGAAAGCGUAAUAGCUCACUGGUCGAGUCGGCCUGCGCGGAAGAUGUAACGGGGCUAAACCAUG